UGGGGAAUAUUGCGCAAUGGGCGAAAGCCUGACGCAGCGACGCCGCGUGAGGGAUGAAGGUUUUCGGAUCGUAAACCUCUGUCAGAAGGGAAGAAACCGCACUGUGCUAAUCAGCAGUGCCUUGACGGUACCUUCAAAGGAAGCACCGGCUAACUCCGUGCCAGCAGCCGCGGUAAUACGGAGGGUGCAAGCGUUAAUCGGAAUUACUGGGCGUAAAGCGCACGUAGGCUGCUUUGUAAGUCAGGGGUGAAAUCCCACGGCUCAACCGUGGGACUGCCUUUAAUACUGCUUAGCUUGAAUCCGGGAGAGGGUGGCGGAAUUCCAGGUGUAGGAGUGAAAUCCGUAGAUAUCUGGAGGAACAUCAGUGGCGAAGGCGGCCACCUGGACCGGUAUUGACGCUGAGGUGCGAAAGCGUGGGGAGCAAACAGG
rnacentral:rRNA from 1 species